AAAAUCCGCACAGCAUGAAGCCUGAGAGGUGAUGCGUAGCCGUUGCGGCGAAUUCCAUGAUCCUAUGCUGCCGAGAAAAGCCUCUAGUGAGUUGGUACACGGCCCGUACCCCAAACCAACACAGGUGGUCAGGUAGAGAAUACUAAGGCGAUCGAGAGAACUGUGGUUAAGGAACUCGGCAAAAUGCCCCCGUAACUUCGGGAGAAGGGGGACCCAUUCUGGUGACGGCCCUUGCGGUCUGAGCUGGUGUGGGUCGCAGAGACCAGAGAGAAGCGACUGUUUACUAAAAACACAGGUCCGUGCGAAGUCGUAAGACGAUGUAUACGGACUGACGCCUGCCCGGUGCUGGAAGGUUAAGAGGACCGGUUAGUGCCCUUCGGGGUGCGAAGCUGAGAAUUUAAGCCCCAGUAAACGGCGGUGGUAACUAUAACCAUCCUAAGGUAGCGAAAUUCCUUGUCGGGUAAGUUCCGACCUGCACGAAUGGCGUAACGACUUCUCUGCUGUCUCAACCACAGACUCGGCGAAAUUGCAGUACGAGUAAAGAUGCUCGUUACGCGCGGCAGGACGAAAAGACCCCGGGACCUUCACUAUAGCUUGGUAUUGGUGUUCGGUUCGGUUUGUGUAGGAUAGGUGGGAGACUGUGAAGUGGGCACGCCAGUGUUCAUGGAGUCGUUGUUGAAAUACCACUCUGAUCGUAUUGGACUUCUAACCUCGGACCCUGAUCGGGUUCAGGGACAGUGCCUGGUGGGUAGUUUAACUGGGGCGGUUGCCUUCUAAAAUGUAACGGAGGCGCCCAAAGGUUCCCUCAGCCUGGUUGGCAAUCAGGUGUUGAGUGUAAGUGCACAAGGGAGCUUGACUGUGAGACGUACAUGUCGAGCAGGGACGAAAGUCGGGACUAGUGAUCCGGCACCGGCAAGUGGAAGCGGUGUCGCUCAACGGAUAAAAGGUACCCCGGGGAUAACAGGCUGAUCUUCCCCAAGAGUCCAUAUCGACGGGAUGGUUUGGCACCUCGAUGUCGGCUCGUCGCAUCCUGGGGCUGGAGUAGGUCCCAAGGGUUGGGCUGUUCGCCCAUUAAAGCGGCACGCGAGCUGGGUUUAGAACGUCGUGAGACAGUUCGGUCUCUAUCCGCCGCGCGCGUUAGAAACUUGAGGAAACCUGUCCCUAGUACGAGAGGACCGGGACGGACGAACCUCUGGUGUGCCAGUUGUCCCGCCAGGGGCACUGCUGGAUAGCUACGUUCGGAAGGGAUAACCGCUGAAAGCAUCUAAGCGGGAAGCCUGUUCCAAGAUGAGGUUUCUCACCACCUUGAGUGGUUAAGGCCCCCUACAGACCAUGGGGUUGAUAGGCCAGAACUGUACGCCUAGUAAUAGGUACAGGUGACUGGUACUAAUCGGCCGAGGACU
rnacentral:rRNA from 1 species